rnacentral:rRNA from 1 species
CUGCUGCCUCCCGUAGGAGUCUGGGCCGUGUCUCAGUCCCAAUGUGGCCGGCCAACCUCUCAGUCCGGCUACUGAUCGUCGCCUUGGUGGGCCGUUACCCCGCCAACUAGCUAAUCAGACGCGAGUCCAUCUCAGAGCGAUAAAUCUUUGGCAGUCAGAGCCAUGCGACUCAACUGCAUCAUGCGGUAUUAGCAGCUGUUUCCAACUGUUAUUCCCCACUCCAAGGCAGGUUACU